CGUAGGAACCGUUGGCCUAAUCCCCGGAUGUCGGGCGGGCUCCUUCCUUUUUUUUUCGCCCGUCGUCCGCGCCGGAGACGCAGAAAAUCCUUCCUCCCCUUCUUCCCCACCCCUCUCCCCCGAGCAGAGCUGAGCAGAGCUGAGACGCCCAAGGCCCCCAGAGCACCACCAUCCCACCACCAUCCCAGCAGCAGCCAUGCCUAUAAUGAUUUCAGAAAUUAAAGAUUUCUUGCUCACAGCGAGGAGGAAGGAUGCAAAAUCUGUGAAAAUUAAGAAGAACAAGGAUAAUGUAAAAUUCAAAGUGCGCUGCAGCAGGUAUCUGUACACUCUGGUGAUCACAGACCCAGAGAAGGCUGAGAAACUCAAACAGUCCCUGCCUCCAGGUCUGGCCGUAAAAGAGCUGAAGUGAAAAUCUGUACAAAUGUCUUGCACGUUCCAAUAAAAAAAUGGAGAAAAUGA